UGCUAUCUGAGUAGCUUAGGAUUGCACUUCAUAAACUCAAUUACGCUGAUCAACUCAGAGACAACUGGGGAGGUGUUCCGGGCAUGUCCAACCGGGAGGAGGCCCUGGGGAAGACCUAGGACACGCUGGAGGGACUAUGUCUCUCGGCUGGCCUGGGAACGCCUCGGUAUUCCCCCGGAAGAGCUGGAGGAAGUGUCUGGGGAGAGGGAAGUCUGGGUGUCCCUGCUUAGACUGCUGCCCCUGUGAACCGGCCCCGGAUAAGCGGUGCUCUCUGCUGGCAGUGUCUCUUUGAGCGCCGCUCGCUUUCAUCUGUCCAUCUCUGCAUCUCAGCC